GGAGACGUGGCCGAGUCUGGCUGAAGGCGCUUGAUUCGAAAUCAAGUUUACGGGCAACCGUAACGGGGGUUCGAAUCCCUCCGUCUCCG
rnacentral:tRNA from 1 species